UGCUUUAGUACUGAGAGUAUAUUGGAACCACACCUACCCCAUCCCGAAUUAGGUUGUGAAACGAUAUGGCGGCUAUAAUACUGCUGAAGAGAUUCAGUGGAAAGACAGCUAAGUGCUAAAGG
rnacentral:rRNA from 1 species